CCUACGGGAGGCAGCAGUGGGGAAUAUUGGACAAUGGGGGCAACCCUGAUCCAGCCAUGCCGCGUGUGUGAAGAAGGCCCUCGGGUUGUAAAGCACUUUCAGUGAGGAAGAACGCCUGGUGGUUAAUACCCAUCAGGAAAGACAUCACUCACAGAAGAAGCACCGGCUAACUCCGUGCCAGCAGCCGCGGUAAUACGGAGGGUGCGAGCGUUAAUCGGAAUUACUGGGCGUAAAGCGCGCGUAGGUGGCUUGAUAAGCCGGUUGUGAAAGCCCCGGGCUCAACCUGGGAACGGCAUCCGGAACUGUCAUGCUAGAGUGCAGGAGAGGAAGGUAGAAUUCCCGGUGUAGCGGUGAAAUGCGUAGAGAUCGGGAGGAAUACCAGUGGCGAAGGCGGCCUUCUGGACUGACACUGACACUGAGGUGCGAAAGCGUGGGUAGCAAACAGGAUUAGAUACCCCGGUAGUC
rnacentral:rRNA from 1 species